UACAGAGGUCUCAAGCGUUGUUCGGAUUCAUUGGGCGUAAAGGGUGCGUAGGUGGCGGGGUAAGUCAGGUGUGAAAUCUCGGGGCUCAACCCCGAAACUGCACUUGAUACUGCCUUGCUCGAGUACUGGAGAGGAGAUUGGAAUUUACGGUGUAGCAGUGAAAUGCGUAGAUAUCGUAAGGAAGACCAGUGGCGAAGGCGAAUCUCUGGACAGUUACUGACACUGGGGCACGAAGGCCAGGGGAGCAAACGGG
rnacentral:rRNA from 1 species